GUGGUCUCAUACUGGAAAGGUUGAUAGUCUUCACUGAAAAAAAGAUUUAAAAAGAAAAUUGAUACCAGCUGCUCUCUUUGUAACUCCACCCCUGAAACAACUGUGUAUUUGUUUUGGACGUGUUUCUAUACUGGAAAAACUCUGAUGAAGAAGAAGAA